rnacentral:rRNA from 1 species
AGCGAACGCUGGCGGCAGGCCUAACACAUGCAAGUCGAGCGGCCGUAGCAAUACGGCAGCGGCAGACGGGAGAGUAACACGUGGGAACGUACCCUUCGGUUCGGAAUAACUCAGGGAAACUUGAGCUAAUACCGGAUACGUCCGUAAGGAGAAAGAUUUAUCGCCGAGGGAUCGGCCCGCGUCCGAUUAGCUAGUUGGUGGGGUAAUGGCCCACCAAGGCGACGAUCGGUAGCUGGUCUGAGAGGAUGAUCAGCCUCACUGGGACUGAGACACGGCCCAGACGCCCACGGGAGGCAGCAGUGGGGAAUAUUGGACAAUGGGCGCAAGCCUGAUCCAGCCAUGCCGCGUGGGUGAUGAAGGUCCUAGGGUUGUAAAGCCCUUUCGGCGGGGAAGAUAAUGACGGUACCCGCAGAAGAAGCCCCGGCUAACUUCGUGCCAGCCGCCGCGGUAAGAC